UAUUUGGGACCAUGGGAAUGAUAGUU
rnacentral:piRNA from 1 species